GCACUGGUGGUUCAGUGGUAGAAUUCUCACCUUUUAUGUGGGAGACCUGGGUUUGAUUCGUGUCCAAUGCA
rnacentral:tRNA from 1 species